rnacentral:rRNA from 1 species
ACGCUGGCGGCAGGCCUAACACAUGCAAGUCGAGCGGUAGAGAGAAGCUUGCUUCUCUUGAGAGCGGCGGACGGGUGAGUAAUGCCUAGGAAUCUGCCUGGUAGUGGGGGAUAACGUUCGGAAACGGACGCUAAUACCGCAUACGUCCUACGGGAGAAAGCAGGGGACCUUCGGGCCUUGCGCUAUCAGAUGAGCCUAGGUCGGAUUAGCUAGUUGGUGGGGUAAUGGCUCACCAAGGCGACGAUCCGUAACUGGUCUGAGAGGAUGAUCAGUCACACUGGAACUGAGACACGGUCCAGACUCCUACGGGAGGCAGCAGUGGGGAAUACUGGACAAUGGGCGAAAGCCUGAUCCAGCCAUGCCGCGUGUGUGAAGAAGGUCUUCGGAUUGUAAAGCACCUUAAGCUGGGAGGAAGGGCAGAUGCCUAAUACGUAACUGUUUUGACGUUACCGACAGAAUAAGCACCGGCUAACUCUGUGCCAGCAGCCGCGGUAAUACAGAGGGUGCAAGCGUUAAUCGGAAUUACUGGGCGUAAAGCGCGCGUAGGUGGUUUGUUAAGUUGGAUGUGAAAUCCCCGGGCUCAACCUGGGAACUCCAUUCAAAACUGACUGACUAGAGUAUGGUAGAGGGUGGUGGAAUUUCCUGUGUAGCGGUGAAAUGCGUAGAUAUAGGAAGGAACACCAGUGGCGAAGGCGACCACCUGGACUGAUACUGACACUGAGGUGCGAAAGCGUGGGGAGCAAAC